AGAUCGAACUAUAGAGUUUGAUCCUGGCUCAGAUUGAACGCUGGCGGCAUGCCUUACACAUGCAAGUCGAACGGCAGCACGGGAGCAAUCCUGGUGGCGA
rnacentral:rRNA from 1 species